UAAAGAUAAGGGAAACUAUAAAAUGAGAAGAAGAAUAGAGUUUUUCUUGGUUGUGAAGUGAAAGAGAGUUAGAGAAAAACUAUGUUUGUGUGGUUGAGAGUGAGAGAAAUAUAUUUGUGGAACUUGAAGAAAUCAGUAGCAGUGUUAUGUAGAUUAUCAGAGAUGGAUGAAUCAAAGUGUUAAUGAGAGUUUGAGGGAUAAAUAGUUGGAGUUUUUGACCAUGGUGAAAAUGAUGAACAAGAUGAUGAUUAUCAUAUGGAUUGGGUAGAACAUCCUUAUCUAACUAAGUUAGUCUAUAUUAACAACGAUCGAUUCAAAGGAUGAACCAGUGGAUUGAGGAAUACAAGGUAUGCGUGGCUUGUCAUCAAACAAGUUUUCAGUUUUCAGAAGAGAUGGCGCGCAUGAAGAUAUUCGUUUCGUAGUUCGAAGAUUUAGCAGAUUAAGAACGUUUUUGAAUCUUUUAUAUAUAUUUAUUCUUUAUUUACUUUGUACAACAACACAUUAAUAUAUUUAUAUCACAAGAGAGUUCUUCAUUUAUACAAUAUAAGAGUGUAUGGGUUUGUCUUUGGUUUUAGCUAAUGUAACUGAGUUUCUUGAGAUCGAUAAUAUAGGUUUGAUGCUUUUAUUAGGUUAUAAUCCUAUUAUCUAAGCAGGUGAUUAGGUUGGGGAGUCACAAGUUGGUAUCAGAGCCCACUAUUAGAUCUUACAUGGGCAACAAUAGAUAACAGCCAGUGCCAGAUACAUUAAUAGAUUAGUUUAGAAUUGGGUUGGGUUUGUGAGA